rnacentral:rRNA from 1 species
AGUUUGAUUUGCUCAGAUUGAACGCUGGCGGGAUAAGCCAGGCAUGCAAGCUUGAACGGCAGCAUGGACUUGGUCUGAAAAGGAGUAAGAAUCGGGUGGCAAUGUAUCAGAACGUGCCUAGUAGCGGGGGAUAAUUUACGGGAAAGGUAGCUACCGCCGCAUACGGCCCUUCGGGGGAAAGCGGGGGGACCUUUCGGGCCUCGCACUAUUAGAGCGGCCGAUAUCGGAUUAGCUUGCUGGUGGGGCAACGGCUCACCGGCGCGACGAUCCGCGGCUGGUUUGAGAGGACGACCAGCCACACUGGGACUGAGACACGGCCCAGACUCCUACGGGAGGCAGUGGGGAAUUUUGGAUAAUGGGGAAACCCUGAUCCAGCCAUCCCGCGUGUACAGACGUGAAGGGCCUUCGGGUUGUGAAGCAAUUUUUGGCAGGAAAGAAACGGUACGGGAUAAUACCCCAGCAACUGAUUGGCAUUCUUAACAGCACCGGCUAAAUUGCAUGUGCCAGCAGCCGCGGCAUGUAGGGUGCAAGCGUUAAUCGGAAUUACUGGGCGUAGCGUGCGCAGGCGGUUCGGAAAGAAAACAUGUGAAAUCCUAGAGCUUAACUUUUUGAACUGCAUUUUUAACUAAUGAGCUAGAGUGUGUCAGAGGGGAGUGAAUUCCGUGUAGCAGGAAUGUAGAUAUGCGGAGGAACACUGAUGGCGAAGGCAGCCUCCUGGGAUAACACUGACGCUCAUGCACGAAAGUGGGGAGCAACACAGGAUUAGAUACCCUGUAGUCCUCAUUUUCCCAAACGAUGUCAACUAGCUGUUGGGGCCUUCGGGCUCGGUAGCAAAGACCAUGGUGUAGUUGACCGCCUGGGGAGUGUACGGUCGCAAGAUUAAAACUCAAAGGGACUGACGGGGACCUGCACAAGCGGUGAUGAUGAUUAUCUGAUGCAACGCGAAAAACCUUACCUACUCCAGACAUGUUCAACCGAAGAGAUUUGGGGAGUGCCAAAAGAGAACCGGAACACAGGUGCUGCAUGGCUGUCGUCAGCUCGUGUCGUGAGAUGCUGUUGUCCCAACGAUGCAACCCUUGGUCAUUAGUUGCUACGAAAGGGCACUCUAAUGAGACUGCCGGUGACAAACCGGAGGAAGGUGGGGAUGACGUCAAGUCCUCGCGGUCUCUAUGGGUGUAGGGAAUGCUUCACACGUCAUACAAUUUUGGUCGGGACAGAGGGUCGCCAACCCGCGAGGGGGAGCCAAUCCCAGAAACCUGAUCGCAGUCCGGAUCGCAGUCUGCAAUUCGACUGCGUGAAGUCGGAAUCGGGUUAGUAAUCGCGGAUCUACAUGUCACCGCGGUGAAUACGUUCCCGGGUCUUGUACACAUCGCCCGUCACACCAUGGGAGUGGGUUUUACCAGAAGGUGAAGCUAGCCUAACCGUGAAGGAGGGCGAUUACCACGGUAGGAUUCAUGACUGGGGUAGUCGUAACAAGGUA